UGGAGCAACGACCGCGUGAGUGAAGAAGGGUUUCGGCUCGUAAAGCUCUGUUGUUAAAGAAGAACACGUAUGAGAGUAACUGUUCAUACGUUGACGGUAUUUAACCAGAAAGUCAACGGCUAAACUACGUGCCAGCAGCCGCGGUAAUACGUAGGUGGCAAGCGUUAUCCGGAUUUAUUGGGCGUAAAGAGAGUGCAGGCGGUUUUCUAAGUCUGAUGUGAAAGCCUUCGGCUUAACCGGAGAAGUGCAUCGGAAACUGGAUAACUUGAGUGCAGAAGAGGGUAGUGGAACUCCAUGUGUAGCGGUGGAAUGCGUAGAUAUAUGGAAGAACACCAGUGGCGAAGGCGGCUACCUGGUCUGCAACUGACGCUGAGACUCGAAAGCAUGGGUAGCGAACAGGAUUAGAUACCCUGGUAG
rnacentral:rRNA from 1 species